rnacentral:rRNA from 1 species
GACGAACGCUGGCGGCGUGCUUAACACAUGCAAGUCGAACGGAAAGACCCUGCUUUUGUGGGGUGCUCGAGAGGCGAACGGGUGAGUAACACGUGAGUAACCUGCCCUUGACUUUGGGAUAACUUCAGGAAACUGGGGCUAAUACCGGAUAGGAGCUCCUGCUGCAUGGUGGGGGUUGGAAAGUUUCGGCGGUUGGGGAUGGACUCGCGGCUUAUCAGCUUGUUGGUGGGGUAGUGGCUUACCAAGGCUUUGACGGGUAGCCGGCCUGAGAGGGUGACCGGCCACAUUGGGACUGAGAUACGGCCCAGACUCCUACGGGAGGCAGCAGUGGGGAAUAUUGCACAAUGGGCGGAAGCCUGAUGCAGCAACGCCGCGUGCGGGAUGACGGCCUUCGGGUUGUAAACCGCUUUCGCCUGUGACGAAGCGUGAGUGACGGUAAUGGGUAAAGAAGCACCGGCUAACUACGG